rnacentral:rRNA from 1 species
UCGAGAAUCUUCCCCAAUGGGCGAAAGCCUGAGGGAGCGACACCGCGUGUGGGAUGAAGGUCUUCGGAUUGUAAACCACUGUUACCUCGGACGAAUAAAUUGACUGUACGAGGAGAGGAAGCCACGGCUAACUACGUGCCAGCAGCCGCGGUAAUACGUAGGUGGCUAGCGUUGUUCGGAAUUACUGGGCGUAAAGGGUGUGUAGGUGGAUUUGCAAGCCUUGAGUGAAAUCCUUCGGCUUAACCGAAGAACUGCUCAGGGGACUGCAUUUCUUGAGUAUAGGAGAGGGGAGUGGAAUUCUCGGUGUAGCGGUGAAAUGCGUAGAUAUCGAGAAGAACACCAGCGGUGAAGACGACUCUCUAUCCUAACACUGACACUGAAACACGAAAGCUAGGGGAGCAAAUGGG